rnacentral:tRNA from 1 species
CAGGGAAUAGAUCAAUUGGUGGAUUGUCUGCGUUGGAAGUAGGAGGUGUGAGUUCAAGUCUCAUUUCCUUGA